GCAACAACAUCAUUUCUCUCCACACUAUUUUUCCACUCAACAAAUACACUUUACACACAGACUCCACCAACAAAUCUAUCUUUUUUUCUCCACUAACAGAGAAGCCAUCAUGAUGCUCUCCAUUUUCUUUCUUUUCUUUUUAUCUUUUUGAUAUAUACACACACAUAAGUUGUACAGAGGACUCCACCAAUUCCACUCACAUUUUUUCUUUUCUGCUAACAACACACACACUGUCAACGGGACCCACAGAGAAUUUCAUUCAUAGAUACACAGUUUUUUCAACAAUUUACCCACAUAGAACAAUACACAGAAAGGAAGCCUCUCCCACUGAUAUAUAUAUAUAUAUAUAUAUACACCAUCACUCUUCUACACAAUACGAAGACCAAAAUCUUCUUCAGUGAUGAACACAAUAUACCCACACAGAAAAGACCACUAAAAAAUGGCUUCUUCUCCACACACAGAGAACACACUACACCCACUGGAAUAUUCACAACCCUAACCAAUUUACACACACAAAACAUAAGAUUCUCUCCAUUUCAUUUUCUCCUUCUUCAGAAAACACACAUCACACAUGCUAAUCAUACAUCCAGAGCACACACUCACCUUCCAUUCCAUUUAAGACCCAUUUUCAUCAUUCACACAUAUACUGACUAUUUUCCUUUUCCUUCUAUUUUCACCAUUUACAACACUCCAUCUUAUUCACUCACCCUCACCGAAAACACACUCACUGUUACACAUCACCAUCAUCUCCCAAUACACAGAUCCAUAAUUCAUACACAGAAAAUACUUCAUGCACACACACAAUUAUGAGAAAGCAGUGUGAGAAAUGUAGGGAGAUUGAGUGAGAAGAGAGAGAUUGAGUGAGUUGGCCUAAGAGAUAGAGAUCGAAAGAGAAAACCGAGAAAACAAAAGAAAAACAGUGAAAUUGAGGGAGAGGGUGGAAGAACAGAGUUAUUUUGACUGGUUUUCGAUAAGUUUAUUGCCGAAAACCUGUCGAUUUAUUCAUCGAAAAACCCAGCAUCGCCGACCGUACUAUUUUCGGUGAAAUUCAUUGGAAAAUGACAUCGCUAAUUGAAAAUCGAUCCAAAACAAUGUCGUUGAUUCAUAUUCAGCUUAAGAUUUGGGCGUUGUUGUUUGUUGGUUCGUCUUUCUUGUUUUGGGUUGCAAUUUCUCAAUUCGAGUUGGCAGAUUCGAGGUUCUGAGGUCAGAACGAGGCAUUUUGGUUGGAACUCUAAUCAAAUACUUCGACGAAUUAAAAUAAAAAUGGCAUUGAGCUGGGAAUGCCUCGAGACUAUUUGUACUUAUUCACCGGAGAAUGCCCCGACGUAUCAUGUACGCAAAGGAGGUUUGUGAUGAAGGCCCGAUGUAUCAGGUAAAGCAUUGGAGUGUAGUUUAGGAUUAGUGCAGGUUUACUUUUUCAGUACCUUUUAUUUCGGGUUGUAAUAAUGGGACUAGACAUUAUUGUUUUGGACUUGUUUUGGUUUGGUUUGUUUGUUUGUUUCGUGGUUGUUGUUUGUUGGUUUAUACAUCCUAAUUUCGAAUUA